rnacentral:rRNA from 1 species
GUCGAGAAUUUUUCUCAAUGGGGGAAACCCUGAAGGAGCGACGCCGCGUGGAGGAUGAAGGUCUUCGGGUUGUAAACUCCUGUCAUUUGGGAACAAUGCGCCGAAUUUAACUGUUUCGGCGUUGAUAGUACCAGAAGAGGAAGAGACGGCUAACUCUGUGCCAGCAGCCGCGGUAAUACAGAGGUCUCAAGCGUUGUUCGGAUUCAUUGGGCGUAAAGGGUGCGUAGGUGGCGUCGUAAGUCAGAUGUGAAAUCUCGGGGCUUAACUCCGAAACUGCAUUUGAUACUGCGGUGCUUGAGGACUGGAGAGGAGACUGGAAUUUACGGUGUAGCAGUGAAAUGCGUAGAGAUCGUAAGGAAGACCAGUGGCGAAGGCGGGUCUCUGGACAGUUCCUGACACUGAGGCACGAAGGCCAGGGGAGCAAACGGGAUUAGAAACCCGUGUAGUCC